AUGGAAAGGCAGUCUGCUUCCAUCACACGAAAAAGAAAUUUAUCUGCCUGGUUUUGUAAGAACCUCUCCUCAAUCCUAGAAAACGAGUGCCAAGAGUUGUGCCUCUGGAGAGGUGCGGCAGGGCUGGAGUCCCAGAGGCCAAAACCUUGGAAUGCGGACAAUGAUGAGGCCCAGUCCUGUUGUUGUCGUCAUAGUCCUGUGGUCACAGUGCCAGGGCAGUAUCCAAGACAAGCUUGCCUGGCUGGCACACAGAAGGUUCUGCUAGAGAAGAAAAAGAAGCCCCACGCAAUUCCAUGCAAUCUGGGAACUAUGUGUAAGCAGUGCCUGAGGUUGCUGGGAGCCUAAAUGCCGAUAACGUCUAGUUGUUUGAAGCUUAUUUCCCGGAUCAUUCAAACAGUGUUAUUUCCAGCCAGGAACACUGAGAAAGCAAGAAGAUCCAGAAAGGGAAGAGGAAAAUAUCUACACUAAAUCCAGAGUUAUGCAACCAAGAGCCACACAUCCGAGAAAGGUGAGAGCAGGGCGCUAGCUAGCACUGGUGGUGGUGAUGGCGGUAGUGGUGGGGACUGG
rnacentral:lncRNA from 1 species